GAGUUUGAUCGUGGCUCAGGACGAACGCUGGCGGCGUGCCUAACACAUGCAAGUCGAGCGGGGACAUUGGAGCUUCGGUUCUGAUGUUCUAGCGGCGGACGGGUGAGUAACGCGUGAGCAAUCUGUCCCAUACAGGGGGAUAACAGCUGGAAACAGCUGCUAAUACCGCAUGAGACCACAACGUCACAUGACGAAGGGGUCAAAGGAGCAAUCCGGUAUGGGGUGAGCUCGCGUCCCAUUAGGUAGUUGGUGAGGUAACGGCCCACCAAGCCGACGAUGGGUAGCCGACCUGAGAGGGUGAUCGGCCACACUGGAACUGAGACACGGUCCAGACUCCUACGGGAGGCAGCAGUGGGGAAUAUUGGGCAAUGGGCGAAAGCCUGACCCAGCAACGCCGCGUGAGGGAAGAAGGUUUUCGGAUUGUAAACCUCUGUCCUUGGUGACGAAGGAAGU
rnacentral:rRNA from 1 species